AUACGGAGGAUCCGAGCGUUAUCCGGAUUUAUUGGGUUUAAAGGGUGCGCAGGCGGCCAUUUAAGUCAGCGGUUAAAUCGUGGGGCUCAACCCCAUUCUGCCGUUGAUACUGGGUGGCUUGAUUGCGGUCGAGGUUGGCGGAAUUCGUUGUGUAGCGGUGAAAUGCUUAGAUAUCACGAAGAACUCCGAUUGCGAAGGCAGCCUGCUGGACUGUAACUGACGCUGAUGCUCGAAAGUGCGGGGAUCGAACAGGAUUAGAUACCCUGGUAGUCCGCACAGUAAACGAUGAAUACUUGUUUUCGGCGAUAUAAUGUCGGAGGCAAAGCGAAAGCGAUAAGUAUUCCACCUGGGGAGUACGCCGGCAACGGUGAAACUCAAAGGAAUUGACGGGG
rnacentral:rRNA from 1 species